UACAGAGGUCUCAAGCGUUGUUCGGAUUCAUUGGGCGUAAAGGGUGCGUAGGCGGCGCGGUAAGUCGGGUGUGAAAUCUUGGAGCUUAACUCCGAAACUGCAUUCGAUACUGCCGUGCUUGAGGACUGGAGAGGAGACUGGAAUUUACGGUGUAGCGGUGAAAUGCGUAGAUAUCGUAAGGAAGACCAGUGGCGAAGGCGGUCUCUGGACAGUUCCUGACGCUGAGGCACGAAGGCCAGGGAGCAAACGG
rnacentral:rRNA from 1 species